AGCUUUGCGCAGUGGCAGUAUCGUAGCCAAUGAGGCUUAUCCGAGGUGCGAUUAUUGCUAAUUGAAAAAUGUCUCCAAACAUUUCCAAAUGUCCCCAAGGGGCCAAAAUACCCCUGGUUGAGAACCGCUAUUCUAGUGCUUGGCAUCUAGUGAUUGUUCCACAAAUAUUAGAUGUUAUUAUUUAUUUAUUUGUUGGCUGUGCCUCGCGGCA
ensembl:snRNA U4 U4 spliceosomal RNA